rnacentral:rRNA from 1 species
ACCCUAUUAUUUUUAUUGUAAAAAUUUAAGUCAGAGUAUUAAUAGUUAUGGUCUUAAAACUUAAAGAAUUUGGCGGUAUUAUAGUCUAUUUAGAGGAAUCUGUUAUGUAAUCGAUAAUCCACGUUGAACCUUACUUAUAUUAUUUUUUGUAUACCGCUGUUUAAGAAUAUACUUUUAGGUUAUUUUCUUAAUAUAAAAUUAAUUAAUAUUUCAAGUCAAGGUGCAGUAAUAUAUAAGUUGAAUAAUGGAUUACAAUAAAAUUUAUUUAUAUGGAUUAUUAUUGGAAUAUAAUUUGAAGGUGGAUUUAAAUGUMAUUUCAAAGAAAGAUUUUACUKAAGUUUUUACG